CAAUAGCGUAUAUUAAAGUUGUUGCGGUUAAAAAGCUCGUAGUUGGAUUUCUGCCGAGGACGACCGGUCCGCCCUCUGGGUGAGUAUCUGGCUUGGCCUGGGCAUCUUCUUGGAGAACGUAGCUGCACUUGACUGUGUGGUGCGGUAUCCAGGACUUUUACUUUGAGGAAAUUAGAGUGUUUCAAGCAGGCAUGCGCCUUGAAUACAUUAGCAUGGAAUAAUAAGAUAGGACCUCGGUUCUAUUUUGUUGGUUUGCGCACAGAGGUAAUGAUGAACAGGGACAGUUGGGGGUAUUUGUAUUUCGUUGUCAGAGGUGAAAUUCUUAGAUUUACGAAAGACAAACUACUGCGAAAGCAUUUACCAAGGAUGUUUUCAUUGAUCAAGAACGAAAGUUAGGGGAUCAAAGACGAUCAGAUACCGU
rnacentral:rRNA from 1 species